rnacentral:rRNA from 1 species
AUUGAACGCUGGCGGCAGGCUUAACACAUGCAAGUCGAGCGGAGCGAGGGUGCUUGCACCUUAGCUUAGCGGCGGACGGGUGAGUAAUGCUUAGGAAUCUGCCUAUUAGUGGGGGACAACAUUCCGAAAGGAAUGCUAAUACCGCAUACGCCCUACGGGGGAAAGCAGGGGAUCUUCGGACCUUGCGCUAAUAGAUGAGCCUAAGUCGGAUUAGCUAGUUGGUGGGGUAAAGGCCUACCAAGGCGACGAUCUGUAGCGGGUCUGAGAGGAUGAUCCGCCACACUGGGACUGAGCAACGGCCCAGACUCCUACGGGAGGCAGCAGUGGGGAAUAUUGGACAAUGGGCGGAAGCCUGAUCCAGCCAUGCCGCGUGUGUGAAGAAGGCCUUUUGGUUGUAAAGCACUUUAAGCGAGGAGGAGGCUACUAGUAUUAAUACUACUGGAUAGUGGACGUUACUCGCAGAAUAAGCACCGGCUAACUCUGUGCCAGCCGCCGCAGUAAUAC